UUAAAUUCUGUAAAAAUAGAAAAUAAAAUAAAACCCUCAUCCUAUCAAUAAAAAAAAAAGGAAAAAAAAAAUCACCAUGGUUUUAUCCCGACUCUCUCUCUCUCAGAGAUUGUAGAGAGUCUUCUAGGUCGCCACGCCUCCACUACCUCCGUAAAACCCCCCAACACCCUCCCAUAUCUCAACGAAACCACCCCAAACCCUUUCCUUCGCCUUCGUCCUGUAUUUUAUAAAAGAAAGCUUCUUAAUUUUUGGUUUGCUUUGAGUAUUCCCAAUUGGUUUGUUCAAUUUUGCUGUUUAGGUUAAAAUUAUAUGGUUCAGAUUAGAAAUUAGGUUUUGGUUUGAUGGGUUUUCUAUUGAUUGGUUGUAUGUUGCCUUUGGUUUAAAUUGCAGGUUGCAAACUUGUGUUUGUUUGCGGCCAAUCCUAAAGGAUCGAUUGGCUGAGAUUGUUGAAGAGGAGUUGAUACCAAUCAGUUGCGGAAACAAUGGCGAGGAGAAAUUUCUAAACAAUUAUGCGGACCAUAGGCCCACUCCUCUCCAAGCCCCACUUCAAUCAGAUGGUCUCACUUCGACUUUAGUGGUCCAACUUCUGGGAGCACAGCUUGUGUUGCAAUUAUUAGAAACAACCAACUUGUUGUUGCCAAUGCUGGUGAUUCUCGUUGUGUCAUAUUGAGGAAGGGUCAGGUAAUUUAUCAGUUUUGCGGUGUUCUUCUGCAUGGUUGUUCUGUUGAUUGCUUAAACAAUAGAAGGCUUUUUACUUUUAAAGUUUUAAAUAUAUGGUUGUACCUGACUACCAUAUUUGACUUAGUUUCCAUGUUACAUAGAUGAUAGAUCUAUCUCACCUAAUUCAUUUUCUUGUUCCUUUUUUUAUCUUUUCCUGUUGUGGAUUUCAAAUAGGAGAUCAAAGAUGUUCUGCAAUAGUUGUAGAUUAUUUAGUUUAACUUUUGCGGAAACAAUGGCGAGGAGAAAUUUCUAAACAAUUAUGUGGACAAUAGGCCCACUCCUCUCCAAGUCCCUCUUCAAUCAGAGUAUGAAUGUCCUGCUCCUCUAUCCCUCAGAUGUUUUAUAUUUUGAUGCAUGAAUAAGACCCAGAUACUCUGAUUGAUUGUGAAAAUUGCCUUCAUUUAGUAGCAAUUGAUAGAGGUAUUGAAUUACAUUGAAAUUAAUCUGAGAACUAGCUUAUAAUGAACACAGAGAAAAUAGUAUCAUUAUAUUUACAUUUAAGAAAACGGAAUCACUUGAACUCCUAUUUUCAAUUCCUCAUAGUCUCAUACCUAUAGGUUUCAUAUGAUGGUGUCAAAGCAUUCCAUAAUAUAAACUCUGUUAUGUUUUUCAGUGGUCUCACUUCGAUUUUAGUGGUCCAACUUCUGGGAGCACAGCUUGUGUUGCAAUUAUUAGAAACAACCAACUUGUUGUUGCCAAUGCUGGUGAUUCUCGUUGUGUCAUAUUGAGGAAGGGUCAUGUAAUUUAUCAGUUUUCGGUGUUCUUCUGCAUGGUUGUUCUGUUGAUUGCUUAAACAAUAGAAGGCUUUUUACUUUUUGAAGUUUUAAAUUUAUGGUUGUAGCUGACUACCAUAUUUGACUUAGUUUCCAUGUUACAUAGAUGAUAGAUCUAUCUCACCUAAUUCAUUUUCUUGUUCCUUUUUUUAUCUUUUCCUGUUGUGGAUUUCAAAUAGGAGAUCAAAGAUGUUCUGCAAUAGUUGUGGAUUAUUUGGUUUAACUUUUGUUACUUACUACUAGACCAAAUUGGUAUCAUAUUGUACUUAAGAGUAUUUGUUCAAACCAGAAAUGUAAAUUAACUAUGAUAUGCCACCAUUUGGUUUUUAUGCUGAUCUAUUAUGGUUUUCCACAGCUUAGGGAAAGGAUGAUGCUGCAACUUAAGCUUGGGAAAAUCACUGCUACUUGAAAGAAUAUUGAAAGAGUUCGUAUGUUCACUUGUCUUUUUUGUUGAAGGUUGCAGCUACACUAACUUCUGAAGAAGAAUAUUUAGUUUUUUUUUUUUUUUUUUGUGUGUUUUUUUUUAAUCUUUCAGUUCUAGAGUGUAAUACUUGAACUUACUGUAUGUAUCUUUUAAAUACAAAUUUUAGUUUUGUUGUUAAAAUUAUAAA